CCUUUUCCCCUUUUCCCCUUUUCCCCUUUUCCCCCUUUCCCCUUUUCCCCUUUUCCCCUUUUCCCCUUUUCCCCUUUUCCCCUUUUCACCUUUUCUGUUUUUCUGUUUUUCCCAAAAGUUUUAUGUUUUUGACAUUGUGCCUAGUUGUCUGAUAGAGAAAGUUACUGUACUACGACCACACCUACAUAUUGGAGACUUGUUUUAUUACUUUGUUGCAAUUAUUUGUUAGACAAAUUAAAAAAAAACCGACUUUCAAUAUUCCUUUCCCUACAUCGCACAUAGACACACAUACACACAGAUACACAGACACACAGGCACACAGACACACAGACACACAGCACACAGCACACAUACACACAGACACACAGACACACAGACACACAGACACACAGACACAUAGACACACAGGCACACAGUAACACAGACACGCAGACACACAGGCAUACAGACAGACCGUCACACAGACACACAGGCACACAGAUACACAGACACACAGAGGACACGUAAACUUAUAACACCGUUCUUUUUGCGUCGCCAGUUAAAAAUAAUUUCAGUCAUUAAUUUAUCACGGCAGCAGGACUGGUCAUCAUCUCUCGUGUCUCUUUCAAUAUCCCAUUACGUUUUGCACUCUGUUAGUCGCUACCACCGCAAUGUAUUUAUCUCGUAUCUCAAUACAUGUUCAACUCUAUUUCGUCUCGUUCCGUCUUCUGCAAUGUGUCUCGUCUUAUAUUUCCCUCUGCCUGUUUUGUUUCCUGCAACAUCUCUCGUUCCGUUUCCCGCAAUGUUACAUUUUGCGCGACGUAUCAUGUCCCAUUUUUUAGUAAACAGUGUUUACUAAACACAAAUGUAAUUAAAAUUUUCAUGUGCGUCUUUAUAAUUAACUAGAUGUUGCCCGGGGCUUCGCUAUCGUGGGAAUUUUGAGAUAAAAAAUAGCCUGCAGCAAUCUUGGCUAUUGUACAUUUCUAAUGAAUGGUGAAAGAAUUUUUGAAAUCCGUUCGCUAGUUUGAGAUAUUACCCGCCUCAAACAUACAAACUCACAAACGCUUACCAGUUUAUAAUAAUAGUAUAGCAGUAUAUAUAUGAAGUUUCAUAAAUACUUCCAGUACCUAUUCAAUUCAGUCCAUAGAAUUGCAAUUAUCAAAAUCCCCAUAAUCAACUAUUAUUUUUUGCUGACCAGACGUAGACCUUGGUACAAAGGUCGUCUGCGUGGGUACCUCACUCUCAUCUAUUUCUGCCGCCAAACAGCAGUGCUUGAGUUGUUGUGUUCCGGUUAGAAGGGUAAGAGCGGCAAUGUAUUUACAAGGUACUGUGGCAAAAGACCCGAGGCCACAAAGUGCUAACACGCCGCCUAUAGUGUUACAGGCGUCCAUUGACGACGGUAACACUUACCACCAGGUGGGUUGUCUACCUGUUUGCUUGAUUGGUAUAAUUAAAUUUAAAAUAUCAUAUCUUCAAAAAUGAUGAAAUUAACUUGUUACCCCUAUUUCGCCCCUUAAGUACCAUCACAAUCAUCUUCAUCUGCCUCGCGCUGAGCAGAGGCCUUUCAUCUUUUAUGCCAAUCUUCUCUAUCUAUGCUAGUCCAAUACACGUACGACCUGAUUCUUUGAUGAUGUCAUCUGCCCAUCUUGCUACUGGCUUUACAAAACUUUUUUCCCUUAAAUUAGGCCACAAAUCAGUCAACGUUGCUAUCCACCUGCCAUGACUUCGACCUGCCAAGUGUACGGCCGAGUUGCACUUAAGAUUUAUGAUCGUAUCACUAACAUCUUGUACUAUCGAUUCGUUCGGAUGUCUUAAAUCAGGAUACGCGACAAGAGAAGCGUACUGUCUUUAGUAUUUUCAAGCUGCCUUUUUUCCUUUCUCCCUUCCCUCUCUUCCCUGUGAAAGAUUAAGGAAAAGAGCAUUUGCACAUAUUAUACAUGUAAGCAAAAACCCCUUUCAUCAAAAAUCAUAUUAUGAUUUGAGAACGUGUUAACAUCAGACUUCACUUUAAUGAUGUAAUGUUAUUGAAUCUGGUGAUUAUCAGGGUUCCUAUGGAGGAUAAGGCCGAGAUUUGGAUAACAUAUGCAAUUUUUCGCUGGCACAAGUCAAUCGUUGUUUUGGUCUCAGACCAAUAGAUUUAUUAAUGUUUCUGACAUUGUGUCUGGUUGUCUGUUAGCGAAAGUUUUCUUGGUACACACAAAAAUCUUGGUACAUAUACAGAGUUCUUUCAAAUGUGUCCUAUUCUAGUAUUCGUGUAUAAAUCAAAGUGAAUAUUUAGCUUAGGUCUCUGUGGAGCAUUUGGAUCGGGAAGUUAAGGAUAGGAUCUAAUGCAAUUACUUUUGCUGGCACAAGUUAGUCGUUAUAUUAGUCUCAGAUCAACAUAUUUAUUAGUGUUUCUGACAUUGUGUCCAGUUAUCUGUUAGCGAAAGUUGUUGUACAACGAUCACUCCUACAUACUGAAUUAAAUACAAAUGAGUCUUCAAACUCAAAAUUAUACAUUAUAUACGACCUAGUUAGUUGAUCACACAUUCGCCCUAAUGUAUCAUUUUUAUGAGACCAGGUAGCACCCCAUCACCUCAGGCUAACCCGGCUCCCUUAUACAACAUAUCGUAAAAAUACUUGAAUGAAAUUUAUCGAGUAAAUAUUUUUGAAAUUCUGACAGAAUUCAAGAUUGCAUUUCAAACAACCUAGGUACAACGGUAAUGACGUCUAGCGAAGCGGCGACAUAAGCAUUACAAAAACCAUCGUUGCCAUUACUUAGAUCUUAGAAUACGAUAGAAGGAUGAAGAAACAUAUUUUAAUCGCUACCUCAAAGUCACGCGAAUUAUCAAUCAUAUUUUUAUAUACUUAAAUCACUUGUGAAUAUCCGGUUAUGUAUACGACUGAAGAAAUCAAUGGCAUUUCACCUAUUAAGGUGUAAGAUGUAUACCUUAAAUAAGAUGUACCAAUGCUUGAAUAGGACUUUAAAUUAUUGAACAUCACUGUUACCUAUGCCUACCCUUCGUGUCUCAACGAAUACUCUCUGAUGACCUGGUAUUGUUUGCAAAUACAUUUGAUUUCGAAAUAUCUCUGUUAAAUAAAUUAAAACAUGAACUUUGUAUUUUUUUUGGUCAGUGUCAUUACUUUGCUAGAACGGUGGGACGUCAUCAAGAACUGGCUGUGACGUACAGCUCCGUGCGGGGUGGGGCACGGACCCCUUGCCGUACGUCCAGACUACCUCGGACGUAUCAGUGCUGUUUAUAUUGUUAUAAACAAUAUUGUCAUCAAAGGUCUAUUCAGCCAUAUAUGAGACCAGGUAGCGCAUUCGGGCUCUUGAGCUUAACACGGCUGUCUUGUAUAAGAUGUCGUAAAAUUACUUGAAUGGGACUGGAUUUUCAUCAACAUCUAUGGUACCUAUGUGUCUCACUUGAGACUCGCAGAUGAUUUGGCAAUUAUUGCAGACAGUGUAAUAGAAAAAAUAUCGAGUAAAAAUACUUUUGUUUUUCUAACAGCAUAACGUUGAAGACGGAAUGGAACUGAUUAGUAUACUGGAUUGAUUGUAUCUCUAGAAAAUGAGAAAGUGGCAAAUGGAGACCAACGUAAUGAAUUGAGAGAAACUUAUCGACUUUUGAAAUUACAAGGCAAAAUCAGGCUGAGACGAGGAGCUCUAUAUAUGUGGAACUUCUGAGAUAUUCAUAUUGUAUUGAUGGUGUGCAAAUUAUCAUAGUCAUCGUAAGUGUAAUGGCUGCCUAAUGUAGGAAAUCCAGUUUGGUUUCCAUUAUAUUCCAAGGUCGAUUAUUCUUUAGCGAAAAGUACGAUGUGAGACAACGUGGCAAAUUUUCACCCAGGUUUUUUUACGGCAACCUUGUAUAAGAUGUUCCAAUGCUUGGAUGUGGCUCUGAAUUAUUGAAUAUCAGUUUUGCCUAUGCCUACCAGGUAGCACAUCGUCACUCGGGCUUAACACGGCUGCCUUGUAUAAGAUGUCGUAAAAUCACUUGAAUGGGACUGGAUUUUCAUCAACAUCUAUGGUACCUAUGUGUCUCACCUGCAACUCGCAGAUGCCUUUGCAGUUAUUGCAGAAAAUUAAAAGGAUAAAUCACCGAGAAAAAAUAUUUUAAAUAUUCUAACAGCAUAACAUUGAAGUCAGAAUGGAACUGGUUUAGACGUUUUGGUAGAUAUACUGGAGUGAUUAGAUUGGGACGGAUUAAGUGGAUUAGACACAUUAGACUCUCAGACAAUGAAAUUAAAAAAAUAUCGAGUAACAAUAUCUUUGACAUUAUAACAGGACAACGUUCAAGACGGAAUUACCCUGAUUAUGACAUUUCGAUAUACUAGAUCACAGAAUAGGAUAGAAGGAAGAAAACUUAUAUUUUUAAAUAGAUUAUAUUUUUGUAUAAAAUACUAGUGAAUAUCCGGUUUUGUAUACGACCGAAGAGAUCUAAGAAAUGAUAUUAGAACGUCUGCAUGAUAAUAUUGGCCGAUCAAUGGUAUUCCAUCUAUUAAAAGCGAUGUGAGACAAGGUGGUAAAUUUUCACCCAGGUUUUUUACGGCAACCUUGUAUAAGAUGUACCAAUGCUUGAAUAUGACUCUAAAUUAUUGAACAUCACUGUUACCUAUGCCUACCCUUCGUGUCUCAACUAAUACUCUCUGAUGACCUGGUAUUGUUUGCAAAUACAUUUGUUUUCGAAAUAUCUCUGUUAAAUAAAUUAAAACAUGAACUUUGUAUUUUUUUUGGUCAGCGUCAUUACUUUGCUAGAACGGUGGGACGUCAUCAAGAACUGGCUGUGACGUACAGCUCCGUGCGGAGUGGGGCACGGCCCCCUUGCCGUACGUCCAGACGACCUCGGACGUAUCAGUGCUGUUUAUAUUGUUAUAAACAAUAUUGUCAUCAAAGGUCUAUUCAGCCAUAUAUGAGACCAGGUAGCGCAUCAUCACUUGGGCUCUUGAGCUUAACACGGCUGUCUUGUAUAAGAUGUCGUAAAAUUACUUGAAUGGGACUGGAUUUUCAUCAACAUCUAUGGUACCUAUGUGUCUCACUUGAGACUCGCAGAUGAUUUGGCAAUUAUUGCAGACAGUGUCAUGGAAAAAUUAUCGAGUAAAAAUACUUUUGUUAUUCUAACAGCAUAACGUUGAAGCCGGAAUGGAACUGAUUAGUAUACUGGAUUGAUUGUAUCUCUAGCUGAUUUGUGGUAGCCAAGGACCCUAAGAAAAUGAGAAAGUGGCAAAUGGAGACCAACGUAGUGAAUUGAGAGAAACUUAUCGACUUUUGAAAUUACAAGGCAAAAUCAGGCUGAGACGAGGAGCUCUAUAUAUGUGGAACUUCUGAGAUAUUCAUAUUGUAUUGAUGGUGUGCAAAUUAUCAUAGUCAUCGUAAGUGUAAUGGCUGCCUAAUGUAGGAAAUCCAGUUUGGUUUCCAUUAUAUUCCAAGGUCGAUUAUUCUUUAGCGAAAAAUACGAUGUGAGACAACGUGGCAAAUUUUCACCCAGGUUUUUUACGGUAACCUCGUAUAAGAUGUACCAAUGCUUGAAUGUGGCUCUGAAUUAUUGAACAUCAGUUUUGCCUAUGCCUACCAGGUAGCACAUCGUCACUCGGGCUUAACACGGCUGCCUUGUAUAAGAUGUCGUAAAAUUACUUGAAUGGGACUGGAUUUUCAUCAACAUCUAUGGUACCUAUGUGUCUCACCUGCGACUCGCAGAUGCCUUUGCAGUUAUUGCAGACAAUUAAAUGGAAAAAUCAUCGAGUAAAAAUAUUUUACAUAUUCUAACAGCAUAACGUUGAAGUCAGAAUGGAACUGGUUUAGACGUUUUGGUGGAUAUACUGGAGUGAUUAGAUUGGGACGCAUGAAGUAGAUUAGACACAUUAGACUCUCAGACAAUGAAAUUAAAAAAAAUAUCGAGUAACAAUGUCUUUCACAUUAUAACAGGACAACGUUCAAGACGGAAUUACCCUGAUUAUGACAUUUCUAUAUACUAGAUCACAGAAUAGGAUAGAAGGAAGAAAACUUAUAUUUUUAAAUAGAUUAUAUUUUUGUAUAAAAUACUAGUGAAUAUCCGGUUUUGUAUACGACCGAAGAGAUCUAAGAAAUGAUAUUAGAACGUCUGCAUGAUAAUAUUGGCCGAUCAAUGGUAUUCCAUCUAUUAAAAGCGAUGUGAGACAAGGUGGUAAAUUUUCACCCAGGUUUUUUACGGCAACCUUGUAUAAGAUGUACCAAUGCUUGAAUAUGACUCUAAAUUAUUGAACAUCACUGUUACCUAUGCCUACCCUUCGUGUUUCAACUAAUACUCUCUGAUGACCUGGUAUUGUUUGCAAAUACAUUUGAUUUCGAAAUAUCUCUGUUAAAUAAAUUAAAACAUGAACUUUGUAUUUUUUUGGUCAGUGUCAUUACUUUGCUAGAACGGUGGGACGUCAUCAAGAACUGGCUGUGACGUACAGCUCCGUGCGGGGUGGGGCACGGACCCCUUGCCGUACGUCCAGACGACCUCGGACGUAUCAGUGCUGUUUAUAUUGUUAUAAACAAUAUUGUCAUCAAAGGUCUAUUCAGCCAUAUAUGAGACCAGGUAGCGCAUCAUCACUUGGGCUCUUGAGCUUAACACGGCUGUCUUGUAUAAGAUGUCGUAAAAUUACUUGAAUGGGACUGGAUUUUCAUCAACAUCUAUGGUACCUAUGUGUCUCACUUGAGACUCGCAGAUGAUUUGGCAAUUAUUGCAGACAGUGUAAUGGAAAAAUUAUCGAGUAAAAAUACUUUUGUUAUUCUAACAGCAUAACGUUGAAGCCGGAAUGGAACUGAUUAGUAUACUGGAUUGAUUGUAUCUCUAGCUGAUUUGUGGUAGCCAAGGACCCUAAGAAAAUGAGAAAGUGGCAAAUGGAGACCAACGUAGUGAAUUGAGAGAAACUUAUCGACUUUUGAAAUUACAAGGCAAAAUCAGGCUGAGACGAGGAGCUCUAUAUAUGUGGAACUUCUGAGAUAUUCAUAUUGUAUUGAUGGUGUGCAAAUUAUCAUAGUCAUCGUAAGUGUAAUGGCUGCCUAAUGUAGGAAAUCCAGUUUGGUUUCCAUUAUAUUCCAAGGUCGAUUAUUCUUUAGCGAAAAGUACGAUGUGAGACAACGUGGCAAAUUUUCACCCAGGUUUUUUACGGCAACCUUGUAUAAGAUGUACCAAUGCUUGAAUAGGACUCUAAAUUAUUGAACAUCACUGUUACCUAUGCCUACCCUUCGUGUCUCAACUAAUACUCUCUGAUGACCUGGUAUUGUUUGCAAAUACAUUUGAUUUCGAAAUAUCUCUGUUAAAUAAAUUAAAACAUGAACUUUGUAUUUUUUUGGUCAGUGUCAUUACUUUGCUAGAACGGUGGGACGUCAUCAAGAACUGGCUGUGACGUACAGCUCCGUGCGGGGUGGGGCACGGACCCCUUGCCGUACGUCCAGACGACCUCGGACGUAUCAGUGCUGUUUAUAUUGUUAUAAACAAUAUUGUCAACAAAGGUCUAUUCAGCCAUAUAUGAGACCAGGUAGCGCAUCAUCACUCGGGCUCUUGAGCUUAACACGGCUGUCUUGUAUAAGAUGUCGUAAAAUUACUUGAAUGGGACUGGAUUUUCAUCAACAUCUAUGGUACCUAUGUGUCUCACUUGAGACUCGCAGAUGAUUUGGCAAUUAUUGCAGACAGUGUAAUGGAAAAAUUAUCGAGUAAAAAUACUUUUGUUAUUCUAACAGCAUAACGUUGAAGCCGGAAUGGAACUGAUUAGUAUACUGGAUUGAUUGUAUCUCUAGCUGAUUUGUGGUAGCCAAGGACCCUAAGAAAAUGAGAAAGUGGCAAAUGGAGACCAACGUUUUGAAUUGAGAGAAACUUAUCGACUUUUGAAAUUACAAGGCAAAAUCAGGCUGAGACGAGGAGCUCUAUAUAUGUGGAACUUCUGAGAUAUUCAUAUUGUAUUGAUGGUGUGCAAAUUAUCAUAGUCAUCGUAAGUGUAAUGGAUGCCUAAUGUAGGAAAUCCAAUUUGGUUUCCAUUAUAUUCCAAGGUCGAUUAUGCUGUAGUUAUAAAAACGAUGUGAGACAGAGUGGCACAUUUUCACCCAGGUUUUUUACGGCAACCUUGUAUAAGAUGUUCCAAUGCUUGAAUGGGGCUCUGAAUUAUUAAACAUCAGUUUUGCCUAUGCCUUGGGCUUAACACGGCUGACUUGUAUAAGAUGUCGUAAAAGUACUUGAAUGGGACUGAAUUUUCAUCAACAUCUAUGGUACUCGCAGAUGAUUUGGCAAUUAUUGCAGACAACGAAAUUGGAAAAUCAUGAAGUAAAAAUAUUUUUGAUAUUCUUACAACAUAACGUUGAAGUCGGAAUGGAACUGGUUAAGACAAUUUGGUAUACUGGAGUGAUUGAAUUGGGACGAAUUAGAUGGAUUAGACACCUUAGACUCGCAGACAAUGAAAUUGAAAAAUCAUCUAGCAAAAGUAUCUUUCACAUUAUAACAGCACAACGUUGAAAAUGGAAUGACUCUGAUUAUGGCAUUAUGAUAUACUAGUUCUUAGAAGAGGAUAGAAGGAAGAAAACACAUAUUUAAAUAGAUCAUAUUUUUAAAUAAAUCACUAGUGAAUAUCCAGUUAUGUAUACGACCGAAGAGAUAUAAGAAAUGAUAUAGAAACGUCUGCAUGGCAUUAUACCUAUUAAAAGCGCUUCUGUGACACAAGAUGGCAAAUUUUCACCCAGGUGUUUUACGGCAACCUUGUAUCGGAUGUAUGCUUGAAUGGGACUCUAAAUUAUUGAACAUCAAUAUCGCCUAUGCCUACCCUACGUGUUUCAUCUAAUAUUCUCAAACGGACCAGUAUUAUUUGCGAAUACACUUGUUUUUGAAAUAUAUCGGUGAAAUAAUUCAAAACGUGAACUUUGUAUUUUUCUUUGGUCAGUGCCAUUACUUUGCGAGAACGGUGGGACGUCAUCAAGAACUGGCUGUGACGUACAGCUCCGUGCGGGGUGGGGCACGGACCCCUUGCCGUACGUCCAGACGACCUAGGACGUAUCAGCACUUGACUGUUUAUAUUGUUAUAAACAAUAUUUUCAUCGAAGGACUAUAUAGCCAUAUAGGAGACCAGGGUAGCACAUCAUCACUUAGGCUUAACACGGCUGCCUGGUAUAUAAGAUGUCGUAAAAUUACUUGAAUGGGACUGGAUUUUCAUCAACAUCUGUGGUACCGAUGUGUCUCACCUGAGACUCGCAGAUGACUCGGAAAUUAUUGCAGACAGUGAAAUGGAAAAAUUAUCGAGUAAAAAUAUUUUGGAUAUUCUAACAGCAUAACGUUGAAGACGGAAUGGAACUGAUUAUGAUUAGUAUACUGAAGUGAUUGAAUAUCUAGCUGAUUUGUGAACCUUGAGAAAAUGAGAAAGGGGCAAAUGGAGACCUACAGAGAAUGGAGAGAAAGAUAGUGUAAAUGAACAUACCGGCUUUUCGAAUUACAAGGGGAAAUCAGGCUGAGACGAGGAGAUCGAUAUCUGUGGAUCUUGUGUGAUGUUCCUAUUGAAUACAAUUGAAUUGGUGUGCAAAUUAUCAUAGUCACCAGUUAUCGGACAUCAGUUUAAUAGCUGCCUAAUAUGGGGAAUCCAGUUUAAUUUCCACUAAAUUCCAAGGCUCAAUUCAUUGUUUGUUCUCCUUUUACCACGAAAUGUUAGGCAUGAAAGAAAAUUGCUCGACCAAAUCAAAAUCUUGCACUUCUUACACUACUGUUGACCAACAAUUUGGUUUUAAAUUAUAAAUUUUGUAAUUAUCAAAUUAUUUUCUUUGCCUCAAAAUGUAUUCUUGUCAACAACAAACCUCGUAAUAUAUUAAUUAUAUGAUUUCCAUACCUACUUACUUCCUGUGAACUCUUUCCUGUCUCCUUAUGUUGAAACGAGGAAACCUGCUCACAGCUGUAAUCGUCGAGAUUGUGAACUCGUUACUUCGUUCCUCUGCUGCUCAAAUGCAUCGUGCCCGUGCUCAUUUUCCCUUCACAUCACAUGGGCCCACGUGCAUGUGUAGAUAUUAAGUGUGGCGACAUCAGCAGGAGAAAAAUUUCCUUGAGAGAUUUUAAGCAGAUGUCGUUAAUGGUAGCGUUUGGCCAAUUUGCAUAUUCUGACUUCAACCAAGUCAAGUUAAGUAAUUUAAUUUGGCUUUCGCCCUGGGAAGGCUGAUUCCAGCUGAGUACACGUCUGUACGCGACAUGAGGAUUGCCCCAUGUUUAGUGGGUUCAAAAUCCUUCCUUUUCUACCUCUCUUCUCUGAACCCGCAGGAGAUUGAGGGGAUCAGGAUAUGCAAAACUCUUUCUAUGAGGAUUGGGUAAGACAGGGGUCUUAACCAACCCUCAGCGAAAGAAUACUUAGUUUUUUUUUUUUUAUUAAAUUGUUCUUGUAACGAACUGUUUUAACGUAAUGCUAACGGUCUGUUCCAGCUUCACUCGUGUAAAACUAUAAUAAAUUUACACCUAAACCUUCCUCAAGAAUUGCUCUACAUAUUGGGCUAUUAGAGAAAGCAAUACAAAAUUCGUCGUGUAGUUUUUGAGUGUAUCGCGUUCAGAUAGCGAGCACUUGUUUUUACAAUUUGUAAGGACUAGCUUCCGCCCGCAGCUUCGCCCGCGUGUAUUUCUCGCGGGAACAGUAUUUUUUCGGGGGUGAAAGGUUACGUCCGUCUCCGUACUUCAAACUACAGUGAUCAAACCGAAUGGUUCAUAACAUAAAUUAACGAAAAGAACAUAAAAUGUUUAUAACAUUGAGGAAAAGUAAUUGAAAAUAAAACAGUUUGUUGUGUAAAUAAUAAUUUAUUUAAUUUAUAUUAAUUUUCUUUUUAAGUCGGGUGAGAAGUAGCGAUCUACUAUGGCAUCGGAUUAUAAAUGCAUUACCUAAAAUUACUCCUCUGAUUGAUAUCUAUUUGAAAAAUGUGAAAUAUACCUGUAAAUCUUGACAUACAUUUGCACAGAGCUGUAUUUCUCUAACGAAGCACAUCUGACACACCUAUCGAUAUUGCGUCCGCACAUUUUAUAUAAAAUUUUGCUUUUUCAUAUUAAAUCUUCUUCACUUCAAUAUGUUCGUUUUUAUUAAACACAUUGUGUUCGGCGGAAAAUAUUCGCUAGUAUUGCAUAUUAUAAGUCCAUUGUCUAGAUGAUCGUAUGAGUUUGCACAUGCGAAGCUAUAUGUUUAGUUGGGUAGGCGUGAUUUAUAGUCAACAUGAGCUUUGGCAAUACUGAAUUGAACAUUGAUCACAAUAAAUUAUGUACAUCCGUGCACCGUGGUAUAAACGUUAACAUGUUGACUAUUCAAAUCAUUUUUUUAUAUUUCUUUUAUAUUACUUGUUGAGACGAUCUCAGAAAUGACACAAACAACUAGAAUAACUAACAGUACCUAAUGGCGAGAAAAGUGAUUGGAAAAACAUAGACUAUUUCAUCUUUCUCUCUUCAAACGAUCUAAUGGAAUUAAGUACCAUCAGACCAGAGGUAGACUUUCGUACAAAGGUCGACUGCGUGGGUACCUCUCUCUCACCUUGGUACCAAACAGCAGUGCCUCCGGGACACAGCGAUGUUCCGAUUUGAACUAACCGCCACCUUGACCGGUCGACUACAGUAACGGUGAGAUAGGCAGAUUGAUUACUGGGUACUGUGGCAAAGGAUCUAAGACCACAAAAGACACUGCAAGCGUCAAAAGUACAUUAUAGUUAUCUGUGACACUUCUGAUAUCUUUUCAUACCUAUGAUGUGUAAAUUGAUCAGUUCUUCAUCUUUUAUUAGUUUGUUUUAUUUCAUGGCCUACCCGUCCAUCCUACCUACCUACCUAUCACCUAUCGGUUAUUCCCAAAUAUAACGGAGACUGAUCAAUUCCAACAUCUUAACUACACAUCAAAUGUUAUUUCUUAUCCCUUUUAAACGAUCUAAAUUAUUGCGAAUUUAGAACUGAGAUUACCUGUCCCCUGAUUGUUUUCACCUUUAGUACUUAUCAGUUUCGCUCUUAGAUUGUAAUCAAACAUUAUUCUCAUGUGCUCUGUAGAAUUAAGAACUUGUCAUGUAGCACUAUUGUUAGAUUUAAUCAGUCUUCACGUGACACCAUAAUCUUACAUUAUAAGUAUUUUAGGAUCAUUAUUGUCACUAUAUGUACUCUCUUUAGCAUAAAUCACAGCCAGCCAUUUUGAGAAUACCUUCAAAAUAAAUGUUAACAGUCGUAACUUAUGAUCUUAAGCCUCAUGAAAUGUAAAACUGUUUUAGGAAUCCCUUUUUACUCUUAGAUAAUAGAAGUAAUGUUUCGAAGAUAAAUGGUUGCUUGACUUGCACUAUUACAUUACUAAUUAUCUUAUCACCUAGUCUAUGAAUGUCACUUAUCUAAUUAAGUACCUACUUUCGCUCAAUAAAUACGAAACAACAGUAAGCAUAUGUGAA